AAGUCGUAACAAGGUUUCCGUAGGUGAACCUGCGGAAGGAUCAUUACCUAGAGUUGCGGGCUUUGCCUGCUAUCUCUUACCCAUGUCUUUUGAGUACUUACGUUUCCUCGGUGGGUUCGCCCGCCGAUUGGACAAUUUAAACCAUUUGCAGUUGCAAUCAGCGUCUGAAAAACUUAAUAGUUACAACUUUCAACAACGGAUCUCUUGGUUCUGGCAUCGAUGAAGAACGCAGCGAAAUGCGAUAAGUAGUGUGAAUUGCAGAAUUCAGUGAAUCAUCGAAUCUUUGAACGCACAUUGCGCCCCUUGGUAUUCCAUGGGGCAUGCCUGUUCGAGCGUCAUUUGUACCUUCAAGCUUUGCUUGGUGUUGGGUGUUUGUCUCGCCUUUGCGUGUAGACUCGCCUUAAAACAAUUGGCAGCCGGCGUAUUGAUUUCGGAGCGCAGUACAUCUCGCGCUUUGCACUCAUAACGACGACGUCCAAAAGUACAUUUUUACACUCUUGACCUCGGAUCAGGUAGGGAUACCCGCUGAACUUAA
rnacentral:rRNA from 1 species